UAUAUAUAUAUAUAUGACGCCACGUCUCGUCUUGUCACACCUCGAUCGGCAUCCAGCUCCAUACGGUGUGCCACAUCUCGCCUCAACAUGCCUCACGGCGUCCCAAAGCUCCUGGUGACUCCCCGCUCUCUAGCCCCAUCUUCCCAGCCACACACCUGUCCAUGUCUUUUUUUUUAAUCUUUGAGGCCAGGUGAUUAGCAAAAGAUCCCGCUGCCUCAACUCCUCCUGCAGGUGAGCGCUGUGCUCGUGCUCCACCGCAUGGAGAGGGACGACGGAGGCCCGAGGAGCCAGCGACCCUGCCGCCUCCGCCAGCGCAUCAUUCGGGACUUGCCCUGGCUGAGGCGUGGGACUAGGCCGCGCUGCCCUUCGAGACUCAUUCAACCGCGUCGUGGCCUCUGUCCCCGUCCCCUUGUUGAAUUCGAGUACAUAGUUACUUAGGUACUUGGUUUGUUGAAUUCGAGUUCUCCUCUUCGAUUCCUUCUUUCUAUUUUUUUAUCCAUCGAUUGUUGAUUGUUAUGAUUGAGGAUCGAUGAGAUACUUAGGUAUCUGUGAUGUACCUUAAUGUACUUGUCAUGUAACUUGAUGUAUCUGUGAUGUACCUUCAUAUACUCGUCUUGUAUCUCGUGAUGUACUGUGAUUUUUUUGUGGAUAAUGUGAUAUAUCAUACGAUGUACUCGUCUCAGAAGUUCAUGUACAUGAGGUACUUGUGAUGUACAAUAUGAUGUACUCGUCUCAUCAGUCCAUGUACACGAGGUACUUCAAAACUGAUGAGGUACAUGUGAUGUAUCAUUUGAUGUACUCGGCUCAUAAGUCCAUGUAC